AUUGAACGCUGGCGGCAGGCCUAACACAUGCAAGUCGAGCGGAUAAAGGGAGCUUGCUCCUGGUUUCAGCGGCGGACGGGUGAGUGUUGCCUAGGAAUCUGCCUGGUAGUGGGGGAUAACGUCCGGAAACGGGCGCUAAUACUACAUACGUCCAGAGGGAGAAAGUGGGGGAUCGUCGGACCUCACGCUAUCAGAUGAGCCUAGGUGGGAUUAGCUAGUUGGUGGGGUAAAGGCCUACCCAGGCGACGAUCCGUAACUAGGCUGAGAGGCUGAUAAGUCACCCUGGAACUGAGACACGGUCCAGACUCCUACGGGAGGCAGCAGUGGGGAAUAUUGGACAAUGGGGGAAAGCCUGAUCCAGCCAUGCCGCGUGUGUGAAGAAGGUCUUCGGAUUGUAAAGCACUUUUAGUGGGGAGGAAGGGCAGUAAGUUAAUACCUUGCUGUUUUGACGUUACCAACAGAAUAAGCACCGGCUAACUUCGUG
rnacentral:rRNA from 1 species